rnacentral:rRNA from 1 species
GAUGAACGCUGGCGGCGUGCCUAAUACAUGCAAGUCGUACGAACAGCGGAAAGUGCUUGCACUUUCCAAGUAAGUGGCGAACGGGUGAGUAACACGUGAAUAACCUACCUCAAAGACUGGGAUAACCAUUGGAAACAGUGACUAAUACCGGAUAAAACCCAGUAGCACAUGCUACAAGGUUAAAAGCUGUGUUUGCAGCGCUUUAAGAUGGAUUCGCGGUGCAUUAGUUAGUUGGUGAGGUAAAGGCUCACCAAGACAAUGAUGCAUAGCCGGGUUGAGAGACUGCCCGAGCACAUUGGGAGUGAGACGCGGUCCAAACUCCUACGGGAGGCUGCAGUAGGGAAUCUUCCAGAAUGGUCGCAAGUCUGAUGUGGCAACGCCGCGUGUGUGAUGAAGGCUUUCGGGUCGUAAAGCACUGUUGUAUGGGAAGAACGGGUUUAAGAGGAAAUGCUUAAGCAGUGACGGUACCAUACCAGAAAGGGACGGCUAAAUACGUGCCAGCCGCCAGCGUUCGUUCUGAGCCAUGAUCAAAC